CCGUUUCCGUUAGCCAAUUUCCGUUUUGAUUCCAUUAACUGGUGUUCUUUUUCACUUUCUCUUUCGCUUGUAAAAGCGAAAUCAUGAUAAAUGUUCUGAUUAGAUCUGCUCCAAAAUCUGGUGACUCUAAUUUUUUCAUAUUUCUGACUAUAUGAUAACUAAAAGUCAAAAGUCAAAGUCACAUCGGCCGGGUAAUGUAGAACAGUAAAGGUCAAGCUCGAUAUAACAAAUCAAAGGUGGAGUAGGCAAUGGGUAUCCUCUGGCCCGUUGCCAGCCUAUAGACACUUUCGGCGCCUCCAAAUUUGACCCAGUAUAAUAGCCCUAGGGGACAAUUCUGCAACAUCGAUUCAGGGAAAAAAUUAGGUUAGGUAAGAGAAAUCAACAACUUAAUAUAACAGCAAUGUGAAAUAAUGUAAAGUGGAGUAGAGAGAAAGAGAAGCAUUCACAUUGUGUCAACAUAAUUUCUAAUGUCAACAGCAAAACAUAUUAUAAUUGACAUAUGCUCUCUGGGAUUAGUCAGUCCACUCUGUUGUGCAUUGCUACAUUGAUAAAACUAUGCUAACAAAGUUAUUUUUAUAAACUGAAUCGAUGGUUUAUGAUUUAA